GCCUCGCAAGAGGAGUGGCAGACGGGUGAGUAACACGUGGGAACGUACCCUUCGGUUCGGAAUAACUCAGGGAAACUUGUGCUAAUACCGGAUACGAUCGCGAGAUGAAAGAUUUAUCGCCGAAGGAUCGGCCCGCGUCUGAUUAGCUAGUUGGUGAGGUAAUGGCUCACCAAGGCGACGAUCAGUAGCUGGUCUGAGAGGAUGACCAGCCACAUUGGGACUGAGACACGGCCCAAACUCCUACGGGAGGCAGCAGUGGGGAAUAUUGGACAAUGGGCGCAAGCCUGAUCCAGCCAUGCCGCGUGAGUGAUGAAGGCCUUAGGGUUGUAAAGCUCUUUUACUCGGGAAGAUAGUGACGGUACCGAGAGAAUAAGCCCCGGCUAACUUCGUGCCAGCAGCCGCGGUAAUACGAAGGGGGCUAGCGUUGUUCGGAAUUACUGGGCGUAAAGCGCACGUAGGCGGAUCUUUAAGUCAGAGGUGAAAUCCCAAGGCUCAACCUUGGAACUGCCUUUGAUACUGGGGAUCUUGAGUCCGGAAGAGGUGAGUGGAACUGCGAGUGUAGAGGUGAAAUUCGUAGAUAUUCGCAAGAACACCAGUGGCGAAGGCGGCUCACUGGUCCGGUACUGACGCUGAGGUGCGAAAGCGUGNGGAGCAAACAGGAUUAGAUACCCUGGUAGUCCACGCCGUAAACGAUGGAUGCUAGCCGUUAGGCUGCUUGCAGCUUAGUGGCGCAGUUAACGCUUUAAGCAUCCCGCCUGGGGAGUACGGUCGCAAGAUUAAAACUCAAAGGAAUUGACGGGGGCCCGCACAAGCGGNGGANCAUGUGGNUUUAAUUCGAAGCAACGCGCAGAANCCUUACCAGCUUUUGACAUGUCUCGUUUGG
rnacentral:rRNA from 1 species